AUACGGAGGGUGCAAGCGUUACUCGGAAUCACUGGGCGUAAAGGAUGCGUAGGCUGGAUGUCAAGUUGGAAGUGAAAUCCUAUGGCUUAACCAUAGAACUGCUUCCAAAACUGGCAACCUAGAGUGAAGGAGAGGCAGAUGGAAUUAGUGGUGUAGGGGUAAAAUCCGUAGAUAUCACUAGGAAUACCGAUUGCGAAGGCGAUCUGCUAGAACUCUACUGACGCUAAGGCAUGAAAGCGUGGGGAGCAAACAGGAUUAGAAACCCGAGUAGUCC
rnacentral:rRNA from 1 species